UAACACGUGAGUAACCUGCCCUUGACUUUGGGAUAACUUCAGGAAACUGGGGCUAAUACCGGAUAGGAGCUCCUGCUGCAUGGUGGGGGUUGGAAAGUUUCGGCGGUUGGGGAUGGACUCGCGGCUUAUCAGCUUGUUGGUGGGGUAGUGGCUUACCAAGGCUUUGACGGGUAGCCGGCCUGAGAGGGUGACCGGCCACAUUGGGACUGAGAUACGGCCCAGACUCCUACGGGAGGCAGCAGUGGGGAAUAUUGCACAAUGGGCGGAAGCCUGAUGCAGCAACGCCGCGUGCGGGAUGACGGCCUUCGGGUUGUAAACCGCUUUCGCCUGUGACGAAGCGUGAGUGACGGUAAUGGGUAAAGAAGCACCGGCUAACUACGUGCCAGCAGCCGCGGUGAUACGUAGGGUGCGAGCGUUGUCCGGAUUUAUUGGGCGUAAAGGGCUCGUAGGUGGUUGAUCGCGUCGGAAGUGUAAUCUUGGGGCUUAACCNNGAGCGUGCUUUCGAUACGGGUUGACUUGAGGAAGGUAGGGGAGAAUGGAAUUCCUGGUGGAGCGGUGGAAUGCGCAGAUAUCAGGAGGAACACCAGUGGCGAAGGCGGUUCUCUGGGCCUUUCCUGACGCUGAGGAGCGAAAGCGUGGGGAGCGAACAGGCUUAGAUACCCUGGUAGUCCACGCUGUAAACGGUGGGUACUAGGUGUGGGGUCCAUUCCACGGGUUCCGUGCCGUAGCUAACGCUUUAAGUACCCCGCCUGGGGAGUACGGCCGCAAGGCUAAAACUCAAAGGAAUUGACGGGGCCCCGCACAAGCGGCGGAGCAUGCGGAUUAAUUCGAUGCAACGCGUAGAACCUUACCUGGGUUUGACAUGGAUCGGGAGUGCUCAGAGAUGGGUGUGCCUCUUUUGGGGUCGGUUCACAGGUGGUGCAUGGCUGUCGUCAGCUCGUGUCGUGAGAUGUUGGGUUAAGUCCCGCAACGAGCGCAACCCUUGUUCACUGUUGCCAGCACGUUAUGGUGGGGACUCAGUGGAGACCGCCGGGGUCAACUCGGAGGAAGGUGGGGAUGACGUCAAGUCAUCAUGCCCCUUAUGUCCAGGGCUUCACGCAUGCUACAAUGGCUGGUACAGAGAGUGGCGAGCCUGUGAGGGUGAGCGAAUCUCGGAAAGCCGGUCUCAGUUCGGAUUGGGGUCUGCAACUCGACCUCAUGAAGUCGGAGUCGCUAGUAAUCG
rnacentral:rRNA from 1 species